rnacentral:rRNA from 1 species
UACGGAGGAUGCGAGCGUUAUCCGGAUUUAUUGGGUUUAAAGGGCGCGUAGGCGGGAUGCCAAGUCAGCGGUAAAAAUGCGGUGCUCAACGCCGUCGAGCCGUUGAAACUGGCGUUCUUGAGUGGGCGAGAAGUAUGCGGAAUGCGUGGUGUAGCGGUGAAAUGCAUAGAUAUCACGCAGAACUCCGAUUGCGAAGGCAGCGUACCGGCGCCCUACUGACGCUGAAGCACGAAGGCGUGGGUAUCGAACAGG